UACGAAGGGGGCUAGCGUUGCUCGGAAUCACUGGGCGUAAAGGGUGCGUAGGCGGGUUAUUAAGUCAGAGGUGAAAUCCUGGAGCUCAACUCCAGAACUGCCUUUGAUACUGAUAGUCUUGAGUAUGGGAGAGGUGAGUGGAACUGCGAGUGUAGAGGUGAAAUUCGUAGAUAUUCGCAAGAACACCAGUGGCGAAGGCGGCUCACUGGCCCAUUACUGACGCUGAGGUGCGAAAGCGUGGGGAGCAAACAGG
rnacentral:rRNA from 1 species